rnacentral:rRNA from 1 species
CUAUGCGCCUUGCCACGCCCGCUCAAGUAAACUUAAAGGAAUGGACGGGGCCCGCACAAGCGGUGGAGCAUGUGGUUUUAAUUCGAUGAUACGCGAGGAACCCUUACCUGGGCUACAAUGUAUUGUUGACGUAUUCUGAAAGGGAUACUUCUUCGGACAAUAUACAAGGUGCUGCAUGGUUGUCGUCAGCUCGUGCCGUGAGGUGUCGGGUUAAGUCCCAUAACGAGCGCAACCCUUGUCCUUAGUUACCAGCACGUUAUGGUGGGCACUCUAAGGAGACUGCCGGUGACAAACCGGAGGAAGGUGGGGAUGACGUCAAGUCAUCAUGGCCCUUACGGCCUGGGCUACACACGUGCUACAAUGGUCGGUACAAAGGGUUGCCAAGCCGCGAGGUGGAGCUAAUCCCAUAAAACCGAUCGUAGUCCGGAUCGCAGUCUGCAACUCGACUGCGUGAAGUCGGAAUCGCUAGUAAUCGUGAAUCAGAAUGUCACGGUGAAUACGUUCCCGGGCCUU